AGGUAAGCAAGUAUCUUCUAUUGUCCUUAGAAUAAAAUGGGACAUUUGGACAUUGCUCUUACAGUGGGUUCCCUCCAGCACCUGUUCACCUGACCACCAUAAAAUGGAGCAGUUUAGAGACUUCCAGCGCUCACAUUGUCUCACAGGCCAGCAAGUUCAUUGCAGAUGACGUGUGGGAAAUUCAGUUGCCCCUGCCUCGACAAAUGGGAAGACAAAGCUGCCUGUCCAGAAUGAUCAAGUAAACCAGGGAAGUUGGGUCGGACGUGGGCCACCCUGCUCUACCGUGUGCCGGCACCAGGAUCUCCCUCCCAGCGGAGAGUUAAGAAGAGGAACACUGAACUUGUAGAGAAACGCUAAAGCUAAUAUUCCUGCAGCAACUCCUCAGGCACAUUGCAUGCUGUGCAUAUUAAGACAGGCGGUUAAGUGGAGUGUUCAAAGCUCAGACAGACCUGCACUGGAACCCUACCUGUGGCACUUCCUACUUGAGAGACCUUGGGC
rnacentral:lncRNA from 10 species